GCGGGCUGAUGUUGUAUGUUGAUAUACUUCUGGUAUGGUUCGCAUCUUCAGACCAAAUCAGCAGCGUCCUUUUUUAUGAUGGGUCAAUAGUAACCUUGUCAUAAAAUAUUGUAGGCCAAAGACUUGCCCCCCAAGUGACUUCCGCAAAUUUCUUCAUGCACCUCCCUAAGUGUGUAGUUGGCAUCUGUCGGUCCUAAGCACUUCAACAAGAGA
rnacentral:lncRNA from 1 species